rnacentral:rRNA from 1 species
AUUGAACGCUGGCGGCAUGCCUUACACAUGCAAGUCGAACGGCAGCACGGGAGCAAUCCUGGUGGCGAGUGGCGAACGGGUGAGUAAUAUAUCGGAACGUGCCCAGUCGUGGGGAUAACGUAGCGAAAGCUACGCUAAUACCGCAUACGAUCUAUGGAUGAAAGUGGGGGAUCGCAAGACCUCGCGCGAUUGGAGCGGCCGAUAUCAGAUUAGGUAGUUGGUGAGGUAAAGGCUCACCAAGCCGACGAUCUGUAGCUGGUCUGAGAGGACGACCAGCCACACUGGGACUGAGACACGGCCCAGACUCCUACGGGAGGCAGCAGUGGGGAAUUUUGGACAAUGGGCGCAAGCCUGAUCCAGCAAUGCCGCGUGCAGGAUGAAGGCCUCGGUGUAAC